GAGAAGCAGCAACAACAGCAAAUCAAACAGCUAAGACCGGGAAUGUAUCAUGAACUCAGGAAAGCUUUGAAAAGCCAACACACACAAGUUUCGAUCCUUAAUGCAUAUGCCUCAAGUCAUCUUCAACUUCUAAUGAACAAAAUUUUGAUUAUCAUAGAAUAUUUUUCCAGGAAAACUUAGGAUUUUCAGGAAAUUUGUUUUCAGAUGGAUGUUCUCGACCUCCUCUCUAGAAAAUGUAUAUAUCUCCCUUUUUCUCUAGAUAAUCAGAUACCCUUUUAUAGCCAAGGCCUUAGGGAAAUAAAUCCUUCUUGUUUUAUUAUUAGUCCCUUACCCAUUUUUCAGAGUUGCUUAAUUGAUCCCUUACUUUUUAACUUGUGCCUCAAGUUUUGAGAAAGAAUUAACAGAAAUUGCAUUUUGAACCUCCACUAGAAUGUUCCAGGGGUUCGUUACAAGAUUCUUAUGCUCAAAUACC
rnacentral:lncRNA from 1 species